AACGCACGAGACCUGCGGACCUGCGGAAGGAUCAUUACAGAAUCACAAUUAUUUGAGAGUUGUCAUUUCUUUCCUGGGUUGUUUCUCGAGAGAGAGAUGGUUUGGGGGAGGGAGGAUGGCUCUCAUUUACAAACAAACGAUCACAACUAUUAUGCUGUGCUGUGCUGCUUUUCGCUGUGGCGAUGAGCGCGCUUGUGCAUGCAGAACCACAUUGGAGAGGGGGUUGUCUGGUUUCUGGCA
rnacentral:misc_RNA from 1 species